rnacentral:rRNA from 1 species
GUACGGGUUGUGAGAGCAAGAGCCCGGAGAUGGAUUCUGAGACACGAAUCCAGGCCCUACGGGGUGCAGCAGGCGCGAAAACUUUACAAUGCCGGCAACGGCGAUAAGGGGACCUCGAGUGCCAGGUUACAAAUCUGGCUGUCGAGAUGCCUAAAAAGCAUUUCAUAGCAAGGGCCGGGCAAGACCGGUGCCAGCCGCCGCGGUAACACCGGCGGCUCGAGUGGUAACCGUUAUUAUUGGGUCUAAAGGGUCUGUAGCCGGCCGGAUAAGUCUCUUGAGAAAUCUGGCAGCUUAACUGUCAGGCUUUCAGGAGAUACUGUCUGGCUCGAGGCCGGGAGAGGUGAGAGGUACUUCAGGGGUAGGGGUGAAAUCUUGUAAUCCUUGAAGGACCACCAGUGGCGAAGGCGUCUCACCAGAACGGACCUGACGGCAAGGGACGAAAGCUAGGGGCACGAACCGGAUUAGAUACCCGGGUAGUCCUAGCCGUAAACGAUACUCGCUAGGUGUCGGCCACGGUGCGACCGUUGUCGGUGCCGUAGGGAAGCCGUGAAGCGAGC